rnacentral:rRNA from 1 species
CAACAGGGAUUGCCCUAGUAACGGCGAGUGAAGCGGCAACAGCUCAAAUUUGAAAUCUGGCUUUCGGGCCCGAGUUGUAAUUUGUAGAGGAUGACUUUGAUGCGGUGCCUUCCGAGUUCCCUGGAACGGGACGCCAUAGAGGGUGAGAGCCCCGUCUGGUUGGAUGCCAAAUCUCUGUAAGUCUCCUUCGACGAGUCGAGUAGUUUGGGAAUGCUGCUCUAAAUGGGAGGUAUAUGUCUUCUAAAGCUAAAUACCGGCCAGAGACCGAUAGCGCACAAGUAGAGUGAUCGAAAGAUGAAAAGCACUUUGAAAAGAGAGUUAAAAAGUACGUGAAAUUGUUGAAAGGGAAGCGUUUAUGACCAGACUUGGGCUUGGUUAAUCAUCUGGGGUUCUCCCCAGUGCACUUUUCCAGUCCAGGCCAGCAUCAGUUUUCGCCGGGGGAUAAAGACUUCGGGAAUGUGGCUCCCCUCGGGGAGUGUUAUAGCCCGUUGUGUAAUACCCUGGCGGGGACUGAGGUUCGCGCUUCUGCAAGGAU